AGGCGAUGUCUCCUUGCCUAUAUCGACGGAGGCACUCGGCUAUGCUGUGGGUUGUGCGACAGCCUUAGACUUGAAUUGUCAAUGGCAUGGUGUGAGGAGGGGUUAAAUGCCUC
rfam:Bacillus sp. LL01 scaffold136.1, whole genome shotgun sequence.